GGCAGUGCGAGGGAGUGGGCUCGCUCCGGAGAUGUUUGGCGGGAGAAGUCGCUUGGCUAAAGUCGUCUCCUGCCCAUGUGGGUGAGUCCCUUCUGCCCCUGUGGGUGAGUCCCUGCUGCCGAGUGCACCCCUGAUCGCCGCCCGUGAGAAGCGACAGAGCUACAAGAAUGUAGUCCUUGGAUACUUGGAGGAACUAGAUGGUACUCAAGCAAGAGUCGAGAAUUCGAGAAACCUUGUGGAGGAGUUUGCAUUAACGAAACUCUCUUGAACAGCCGCCGGCCAUGAGAAGCGGCUGUAGUGCUCGCCCUUACAUAUCUGAAGGUUUCGAGAGGGACCGCAAGAAGCGCCUAAAUCCUGCGGAAUCUUGCUGAAAAAUUUGGAAUCAGUGAAGAUAAGAGAAACUUCCUUGAAUACCCUCCUCCAGGGCGUCGGAAGGCGUUGGGUUCGGGUCCGCGGCGAGGUCCUUGGUGCUUCCCUCUCCUUCGUGGACCUCUUUCCCUUGGCCUUCUGGUGCUUCGUCUUCUCCUCCUUCGACUUUCCUUUGGUUCUAGAGGCGUCCUCGAGUUCUUUGCACUCCUCAGCUCGAAAGUAGACGACGCUGCUCGGCCACGGCGUCAAUCACCCGAGGGGCAUAACACGCACCUCUACCCCGUGCGCGCGUGUAAGCAAUGUGUAUCUGUAUCAUAUUAGCAAAAUACUUACUGUUAUCUGUUUCAACUGUUAUAUUUUACAUGUUUACUUUUUUAUGAUUCAGGUAAUCUUUGUAUUUGUUCACAUACUCACAGAUAUAUGCACAUACAAAUGUUCAUUGCUUUACCUAUAUAUAUAUAUAUAUAUAUAUAUAUAUAUAUAUAUAUAUAUAUAUAGAGAGAGAGAGAGAGAGAGAGAGAGAGAGAGAGAGAGAGUGCGUGCGUGCGUUCAGUCUACCUGCAAAACUUACCUGUUCAAGGGAGUUUCGUUAAUGCAAACUCCUCCACAAGGUUUCUCAGAAUCUUGGCUCAUGCUUGAGGACCAUCUCGUUCCUCCAAGUAUCCAAGGACUAUAUUUUUCUAGUUCUGUUGUAGUGAAUGCAACUCUUUGUGAAGCGACGGAGGGAGUCAACUAUCGCAAUGCUUGUAUUUGUUAAUGGGGCUUUUCGUGUCGGAGUGGCCCGGGGGUUAAUAUCGUAACUAAAAUCAAAAUACACAUUUAGUACUAAAAACAUAGAGUGAAAGAAUUAAAAUGAGAUAAAACUGAACCCUUAAGAGAGAGAAAAAAAAAACAUUUAACAUUAAAACACUGGGAGUUUUCAAACACUAGCCUGCCCCGUUUUCCUUUACAGUUCCCUCAUUUUCUGGGAUGGCAUGUUAAAUCUGUGUACUUGUGACACCUACGAACGUGAAAUAAAACCAACAAUAUAAAAAAAGGUGCCUGGGUACAACUCCUUAAAGAGGAAAGAGGCAACAAAAGAACUAGGAAAACAAUUUAAAACAUUUACUGAUAUAUCGGCUUUGGUUAUGUAUAAUAUUUUUACAUCUGUUAUAUUAAUAUUCCUAACAACAAGAACACAACACUUAUCUGUAUAAUAAGUCACACUGGUGUUCCACAGCGAGCCGAAUACACAAAAUUUGCCACUAUAAAUAAUAAUUGAAAGGGGUGCCUUGGUCUCCCUGAUUAAUAUGUCAGGUCAGGUCAUAUUAACAGUCUAGAGAGCUAGGAGAUUUGCGACAAAUGUUCUCCAGUUUUUGUGUGACCCUGCACAUUCGGUCAGGCCAGUGGAAAUUGGUGAAACAAAAAAAAACAAACAAAAAAACUAGUGAUAUUUGUUUAUUUGUUUACAUUCAAAAUUAUAUAAAGUUCAUACACUGUCGCUUCUCAGAAAAAAACUAUCGAAAAACCCAAAAUAUAUAUAAAAGAAAAAACCUGGACACAGAUGUAGAAAAUAGGCGGGUAUACGUGUAUGUAUAUGUACACUAAUAUAUGUAUUAUGGACAGACUGAUUUGUAUGAUUAGCAUUAGAUUUGGAAUAUACCAUAUCAAUAAAUAUUCUCUUCUAA